GAUGAACGCUGGCGGCGUGCCUAAUACAUGCAAGUCGAGCGAAUGGAUUAAGAGCUUGCUCUUAUGAAGUUAGCGGCGGACGGGUGAGUAACACGUGGGUAACCUGCCCAUAAGACUGGGAUAACUCCGGGAAACCGGGGCUAAUACCGGAUAACAUUUUGAACCGCAUGGUUCGAAAUUGAAAGGCGGCCUCGGCUGUCACUUAUGGAUGGACCCGGGUCGCAUUAGCUAGUUGGUGAGGUAACGGCUCACCAAGGCAACGAUGCGUAGCCGACCUGAGAGGGUGAUCGGCCACACUGGGACUGAGACACGGCCCAGACUCCUACGGGAGGCAGCAGUAGGGAAUCUUCCGCAAUGGACGAAAGUCUGACGGAGCAACGCCGCGUGAGUGAUGAAGGCUUUCGGGUCGUAAAACUCUGUUGUUAGGGAAGAACAAGUGCUAGUUGAAUAAGCUGGCACCUUGACGGUACCUAACCAGAAAGCCACGGCUAACUACGUGCCAGCAGCCGCGGUAA
rnacentral:rRNA from 1 species